UCCACCACUCCUGACUGACACCGGGGAGAAGGGGGCACAGAUGGGGGGAGGGAAACGCCCAGGCGCUUUUGCCAAACUCUGCACAUCCGCCCAGGGAGGCCUGGAGGCCUGGGUAGGGGAGAAGGGCCCGCGGUCUAGGGGCUCUGCAGGUCGGAGGGAGGGGGCAACGACUAGUUAGUAGUAGUUAAAAAGGAGGAGAGCGACCGCUGCACUUGAGCCCCUGCUCUGGGCCUCCGGCCCCAACUCUCGGGAGUGGUCGCCCGGCUCAGGCCCCGACACCCAGCGCGCACCACGCGGCUCCAGGCCCUGGGUGAGGGGCAGCGCCCGGGAACCCGCGCCGGGAACUUGGGCACGCCCCAUAGAGAGGGCGCCUGGAAUUUUCGAUGACGAGGCCCAGGUAGGGCCCCAUGGCCGGUGCAGCGCCCAGGGAUUUUUCGUCCGCAUCCGCGGUACCGGGAGCUGGGACCGGCUGCCGUUAAAGGAAACGUCUAGGAAGAGGGAGCAGCAGGGACAUUUCUGAGAGCCAAAGGGGGCUCACCGAGCAUGACUCGUGACGACAGCAGACCACCAGGAGCAUAGGACUGCCCUAACCAUAGCCCCCUUUCUACCGCUAUAAAUACAUGAAACAUAGCCAGCGCCGGGCUUGGGCCGCGUCAGUGGAAGGUGCCAAAGGGACACUGAAGGGCCUUCUCUUCCUCGUUCCAGCGCUUUUCUUCUGGCUCCUACAGCACAGCUGCCGGUGGGCGGCUUCCAGUCAGAUUUUGCCAUCGCCCAGCACACAGUUUCCCACUUGCCAACCCCAGCCUGCAGCACCUCAGCAAACUUCUCUGCCAUCCAGCGGGCCCCCACCACGCCCCCACCAAUGAAGAAACUGAGGCACACAGAGGUUACCUAAGUAAGUGGUAGAGCCAGUAUUCAAAUACAGAUUGUAUUCCUCAGGAGUCCAUGCCCUCAACACGCUACAGAGUACAGUGCUAUGUUUGCUGGAGAAAGAGACCCAUGAGGGAUCACCCUCAACAGAGGCACUAAUCAGGGCUCACAGAGGCCCCACGUGAUGGUGGCCAAAGCGUUCUAACUUGAAAUAUGGGAAAGACCGCAUAGAACUAUAACCCCUAGAGAGAUGAAAACUGGGAUCCAGGUAUGCUGGGGCACCCACAUAAAUGCCCAAAGCCCUCCUGCUGAGAAGAUGGGGUAGUUCCUUUGGCAGUUCUGGCAACAGUUGAAUCCAAACCUACUGGGCCAGGUACAGGAUGGCAGGUCUUAGAGACUAAGCACAGAUAAUGAUGGGGUCUUCCCUUUGAGACGGGGAAGGAAGAGUCUUAGCAGAAUCAGCCUUGGAACUCUGGGGUUUCUCUAACAUUCAGGGCUGUCCUUAGGUCAAAACUUUGGAGUGAAUAGGAAAACUCACCCUGUGUAGUUGAAGAAAGAUAAGGAACUGGAGUAAAACAACCUUUGUGCAUAUCUCUGUUUAGCCAACAAUUGACUGUCUUCAGUAAUAUUUCUUUACACGUAUACACCACAGUUGGUUAGCCAUUCUCCUAUUAAUGGACAUCUUGGGUUAUUUCCUGUUUGGAACUAUUAUUUUAAAAAAAGCUGCUAGGAGCACUCUUGUACAAGUCCUUUUGUUUUAAUUUCUUUUCAGUAAAUACAGGAGUGGGGUUGCUGGGUCAUAAGAUAGGUUUUUUUAUAGCUUUUUUUUUUUAAACUAUUUAUUGGCUGCAUUGGGUCUUCAUUGCUGCGCAUGGGCUUUCUCUAGUUGUGGUGAGUGGGGGCUACUCUUCGUUGUGGUGCGCUGCCUUCUCAUUGCAGUAGCUUCUCUUGCUGCAGAGCAUGGGCUCUAGGCAGGUGGGCUUCAGUAGUUGUGGCAUGUGGGCUCAAUAGUUGUGGCUCACGGGCUUAGUUGCUCUGUGGCAUGUGGGAUCUUCCCGGACCAGGGAUCAAACCCGUGUGCCCUGUAUUGGCAGGCGGAUUCUUAACCACUGCACCACCAGGGAAGCCCUGUAUAGCUUUUUUAAAGCAUUUUUAAAUUGUGUAAUAUACAUAACGUAAAAUUUGCCAUCUUAACCAUUUUAAGUGUACAAUUCGGAGAGUUCCCUGGUGGUCCAGUGGUUAGGGCUCGGAGCUUUCACUGUUAUGGCCCAGGUUCAAUCCCUGGUUGUGGAUCCCGCAAGCCAUGCAGUGCAGCCACAAAAAAAGAGUACAGUUCAGUGGCAUUAAGUACAUUUUUAUUGUUGUGCAACUAUUAGCACUACCCAUCUCCAGAACUUUUUCAUCAUCCCAACCUGAAAAUUGGUACCAAUGAAACAGCAAACUCUCCAUCCCCCUCCCCUCAGCUCCUGGUAACCUUUGUUCUACUUUCUGUCUCUACAAGUUUGACUAUCCUAUCAUAUAAGUGGAAUCAUACAACAUUUAUCCUUUUGUGUCUGGCUUAUUUCAGUUAGCAUAAUGUUUUCAAGAUUUAUCCAUGUUGCAGCAUGUGUCAACAUUU